rnacentral:rRNA from 1 species
AUGCAUGUCUAAGUACAAGCCUCACUAAGGUGAAACCGCGAAUGGCUCAUUAAAUCACACCUAAUCUACUGGAUAGUUAACAGUUACUUGGAUAACUGCGGUAAUUCUGGAGCUAAUACAUGCACAAAGCCUCGAACUUACGUGAGAGGCGCUUUUAUUAGAUCAAAACCAAACGUUUUCGAACGUUUUCUUGGUGACUCUGAAUAACUUUGGGCUGAUCGCAUAGCCUUGCGCUGGCGACAUAUCCUUCGAAGGUGUGCCCUAUCAACUGUCGACUGUGGCAUAGACGCCCACAGUGGUUUUGACGGGUAACGGGGAAUCAGGGUUCGAUUCCGGAGAGGGAGCCUUAAAAACGGCUACCACA